AAAACCAGGAGUUUGAUCGUGGCUCAGAUUGAACGCUGGCGGCAUGCCUUACACAUGCAAGUCGAACGGUAACAGGUCUUCGGACGCUGACGAGUGGCGAACGGGUGAGUAAUACAUCGGAACGUGCCCGAUCGUGGGGGAUAACGAGGCGAAAGCUUUGCUAAUACCGCAUACGAUCUACGGAUGAAAGCGGGGGAUCUUCGGACCUCGCGCGGACGGAGCGGCCGAUGGCAGAUUAGGUAGUUGGUGGGAUAAAAGCUUACCAAGCCGACGAUCUGUAGCUGGUCUGAGAGGAUGAUCAGCCACACUGGGACUGAGACACGGCCCAGACUCCUACGGGAGGCAGCAGUGGGGAAUUUUUGGACAAUGGGCGAAAGCCUGAUCCAGCCAUGCCGCGUGCAGGAUGAAGGCCUUCGGUCGUAAACUGCUUUUGUACGGAACGAAAAGACCUCUUUCUAAUAAAGAGGGGUCGAUGACGGUACCGUAAGAAUAAGCACCGGCUAACUACGUGCCAGCAGCCGCCGCCGUAAAACC
rnacentral:rRNA from 1 species